UAGGGAAUCUUCGGCAAUGGACGGAAGUCUGACCGAGCAACGCCGCGUGAGUGAAGAAGGUUUUCGGAUCGUAAAGCUCUGUUGUUAGAGAAGAACGUUGGUAGGAGUGGAAAAUCUACCAAGUGACGGUAACUAACCAGAAAGGGACGGCUAACUACGUGCCAGCAGCCGCGGUAAUACGUAGGUCCCGAGCGUUGUUCGGAUUUAUUGGGCGUAAAGCGAGCGCAGGCGGUUCUUUAAGUCUGAAGUUAAAGGCAGUGGCUUAACCAUUGUACGCUUUGGAAACUGGAGGACUUGAGUGCAGAAGGGGAGAGUGGAAUUCCAUGUGUAGCGGUGAAAUGCGUAGAUAUAUGGAGGAACACCGGUGGCGAAAGCGGCUCUCUGGUCUGUAACUGACGCUGAGGCUCGAAAGCGUGGGGAGCAAACAGGAUUAGAUACCCUGGUAGUCCACGCCGUAAACGAUGAGUGCUAGGUGUUAGGCCCUUUCCGGGGCUUAGUGCCGCAGCUAACGCAUUAAGCACUCCGCCUGGGGAGUACGACCGCAAGGUU
rnacentral:rRNA from 1 species